rnacentral:rRNA from 1 species
GACGAACGCUGGCGGCGUGCUUAACACAUGCAAGUCGAACGGAAAGGCCCUGCUUUUGUGGGGUGCUCGAGUGGCGAACGGGUGAGUAACACGUGAGUAACCUGCCCUUGACUUUGGGAUAACUUCAGGAAACUGGGGCUAAUACCGGAUAGGAGCUCCGGCUGCAGGGGGGGGGUGGGAAAGUUUCGGCGGUUGGGGAUGGACUCGCGGCUUAUCAGCUUGUUGGUGGGGUAGUGGCUUACCAAGGCUUUGACGGGUAGCCGGCCUGAGAGGGUGACCGGCCACAUUGGGACUGAGAUACGGCCCAGACUCCUACGGGAGGCAGCAGUGGGGAAUAUUGCACAAUGGGCGGAAGCCUGAUGCAGCAACGCCGCGUGCGGGAUGACGGCCUUCGGGUUGUAAACCGCUUUCGCCUGUGACGAAGCGUGAGUGACGGUAAUGGGUAAAGAAGCACCGGCUAACUACGUG